UUACAUACUUUUUUAACUUAUUACUCCUUUAUUUUUCUAUUGUGGACACAUGUAUUUUAUCUGCAACGACUUUAUUUUGAACUAAUUUUAGUGCAACAAUGCACUCAUAACCAAAUUUUGCUCUCGGUUGCUUUCGUUUUUAUCAUUUUUAUUAUGUAUAUUAAUUUAUUUCCAUAAGUAUAUUAUUAUUAUUUUUCGACCGUCGCAUGUCCGCUACAUACACUCGUGUCUUUUCUUAUAUGUAUAUUAUUAUCUUUCGACCGUUUUUAUCAGCCUUUCCGAAAUUGUUUGCGUUCGAAUCUUGCUAUCUCGGUUGAUAACAGUUAUUUGUAUCACGGCAUUGCGAUCGCUCGUUUAUCUGUUAAUGACCGCCUAAGUCCCGUUUCGCCCGAGUGUGAAUUUUCUAUUCGCGUCGUCGGCUUUAAAUUUAUGUGCAGUAAUACAAAUGCAUCAUAACAUCAUGCUCUGUACAAUCUGGGAUUUCUCAACUUUCGACCGUGUAAUCGAGCAAUUGGUCAUCCUAACAACUACUGUAACUGUUCUUGAAGAUGCACCAUAUUUUGAGAGACGACCGACGUUUUGAAUUUCAAUGUUUGCUAUUACAUUGAUUAUGAAUUUGCGAUUCGUUCACCGUCUAAGUAGAUUUAUUUGUAUUUUUUAUCUCUUGCGUUGAAGAAGGCUGAAAGAUCAACCAAAACGUCCGUUUUAUGUUAUUUUGAUUAUGUUACAUUGAUUACUAUUAAAUUUUACGUGCUUUUA